rnacentral:misc_RNA from 1 species
AAGUCGUAACAAGGUCUCCGUAGGUGAACCUGCGGAGGGAUUAUUACAAGAACGCCCGGGCUUCGGCCUGGUUAUUCAUAACCCUUUGUUGUCCGACUCUGUUGCCUCCGGGGCGACCCUGCCUUCGGGCGGGGGCUGCCGGGUGGGACACUUCAAACUCUUGCAGUAACUUUGCAGUCUGAGUAAACUUAAUUAAUAAAUUAAAA